CAAUAGCGUAUAUUUAAGUUGUUGCAGUUAAAAAGCUCGUAGUCGGAUUUUGGCUGAGAACGAUCGGUCCGCCGUUAGGUGUGCACUGAUUGGUCUCAGCUUCCUGGUGAGGAGGUGUGCUUCACGGCCACUUAGUCACCGUGGUUACUUCGAAAAAAUUAGAGUGUUCAAAGCGGGCUUACGCUUGAAUAUAUUAGCAUGGAAUAACACCAUAGGACUCCUGUCCUAUUUCGUUGGUCUCGGGACGGGAGUAAUGAUUAAGAGGAACAGUUGGGGGCAUUCGUAUUUCAUUGUCAGAGGUGAAAUUCUUGGAUUUAUGAAAGACGAACUUCUGCGAAAGCAUUUGCCAAGGAUGUUUUCAUUGA
rnacentral:rRNA from 1 species